rnacentral:rRNA from 1 species
CCCGCACAAGCGGUGGAGUAUGUGGUUUAAUUCGAUGCAACGCGAGGAACCUUACCUGGUCUUGACAUCCCGGAGACCCUUAGGAAACUAGGGGGUGCUUCCAUCUGGAAGAAUCUGGAGACAGGUGCUGCAUGGCUGUCGUCAGCUCGUGUCGUGAGAUGUUGGGUUAAGUCCCGCAACGAGCGCAACCCUUGCCUUUAGUUGCCAGCAGUUCGGCUGGGCACUCUAAAGGGACUGCCGGUGUUAAACCGGAGGAAGGUGGGGAUGACGUCCAGUCCUCAUGGCCUUUAUGACCAGGGCUACACACGUACUACAAUGGCCGAUACAAAGGGCAGCGACACUGCGAGGUGAAGCCAAUCCCGUAAAAUCGGUCUCAGUCCGGAUUGGAGUCUGCAACUCGACUGCGUGAAGUCGGAAUCGCUAGUAAUCGUGAAUCAGAAUGUCACGGUGAAUACGUUCCCGGGCCUU